rnacentral:rRNA from 1 species
GAUGAACGCUGGCGGCGUGCCUAAUACAUGCAAGUCGAGCGAACAGACGAGGAGCUUGCUCCUCUGACGUUAGCGGCGGACGGGUGAGUAACACGUGGAUAACCUACUUAUAUGACUGGGAUAACUUCGGGAAACCGGAGCUAAUACCGGAUAAUAUAUUGAACCGCAUGGUUCAAUAGUGAAAGACGGUUUUGCUGUCACUUAUAGAUGGAUCCGCGCCGCAUUAGCUAGUUGGUAAGGUAACGGCUUACCAAGGCAACGAUGCGUAGCCGACCUGAGAGGGUGAUCGGCCACACUGGAACUGAGACACGGUCCAGACUCCUACGGGAGGCAGCAGUAGGGAAUAUUCCGCAAUGGGCGAAAGCCUGACGGAGCAACGCCGCGUGAGUGAUGAAGGUCUUCGGAUCGUAAAGCUCUGUUAUUAGGGAAGAACAAAUGUGUAAGUAACUAUGCACGUCUUGACGGUACCUAAUCAGAAAGCAACGGCUAACUACGUG